ensembl:lncRNA
UUCCUCCUGGCCACUUCCCUGAGGGCGCGGGGACAGGCCCAGGCAGGCCCUCGCAGCCCGGCUCCAUCAAUGAUUAACCCUGUGUUUCUGGUGGCCGCGCCCAGGCUCCGGGCCUGCUCCCCCCGCACCCCACUGCUGGCCCGGAGCCGGGACGGCGCAGGACCCGGGCGGCUUCAGUUCCCGUCCCUCCACUUUCUCAGUCUGAGCACCUCCCCAUGAGGCCGGCUCUGAGACCCACAGCCUGCGGAGCUUCCACGCCAGACACUCGAGGGCUCAGGGCCCCCGCACCCCGAUCUCUCCUGCGUGGGACAGUCCCUCCCGGGGCGCGGCAGAUUAGAAGCGGGACAGCCGGCUCUGGGCCCAGGCUCCGAACAUGCACGCCACGCCACAGUCCCGGGUGCAGUUUGAACAAGACCCAUUGGAUUCAGCGGGAGCAGCAGAGCUCGAGACCGGGUCCUUGGAAAGACUGCUGCGGGCGACGAGCCACCGUCUCAGAGCAUCGGCUGCUGCGAGGUUGCGGGGCUUCCCAAGCCUCCAGUGCGGUCGCCUGGAGAACAGAGAGUUCCUCGGCUCUCUUCUAGGAAGACUUGCCCAGAAGGACGACAACGUUUCCACUGUGGGUCUGUCCUCUGCCUUCACUGAGCUGGAGGCAGAGGGGUUUCAGAACCUCGGGAGUUUAGGUAGGAAAAGUUUCCCCUUCAUUGAAGACACAGACUUGCAAUUUGCUGCCUCAGACUGUUCGUGAUUGUCCGUGGUGGCAGCCGCAUGGCACUGCCUCUGGACCAUCCCGUGAUGCUACAGUCCAUGCCCAGCUCAGGCCUGAUGCCCUUGGAAGGGCUUUCCCUGUUCUUGGAGUCCAGAAGACCCUCACCCCACGGCCCGGGGGCACACAUCAAGGAGGCCGCCUCCCCAGCCCCGGUGCCUCUGUAGCUGCUGGCUCUCAUCCUCCUUAUGGCUCGAAGCACGUGGUGUCUCCUGCUAGGCUGUGGGCUCCUUGAGGCCAGCGGCUUUCUCCACGACGUCCAUUUGCUAUUCUAGUGCUUGGAGCCGUGCAUGAAGCGUCUGCUAAAUUUAUGUGUGUUCUAACGACUUCUUGAGAACAUGAACAUGACAGAUGCUCGAAUGUGGCCCUUGAAGUAACAAGUGACACGAGACAAACCUCCUCUUUCAGGUCUUGUGGGAAACUUGCUGGAGUGUGGAGAAUCCAGAGUUAUAAUCGUGAAGUUUGGAAGCAAAUACUAAAGGGGGGAACCUCACAGCUGUGCUGUACCUCGCUUGGUAAAAUUUCAGCUUCCUGCAAAGCCAUCAGCGAGGCAUUUCAAACAAAUCAAGUGAUAGCUGGCGUAGAUUUGGGGGCCCUUGUUAUCAAAAUCAAUCCUCUGGAUCAUCCUUUUGUAAAGUAUAAAACCAUUCCCAAAAUUAUGUUUUGUGUGAAUUCAAAUGUAAACAUUGGGCUCAUUUAAAUUCAUGUGUUAACCACAUGGCCCAUGAAAAUGAAACCACUGACACCUUUUGGGGAAGAACGAAAGUUGGGUUAUUUUUCCGGUGUGGAGCUGGGUCCUCACGGACGGAGCCUCUGACGCUCCUUGGUUGAGUCUCUGCAUGGCCGGUGGAAGGUGGGUCGGGCGCGGGCGCACACAGACCUGUGGAGC